CCGGCGGUGUGCCUAAUACAUGCAAGUCGAACGCGUUGGCCCAACUGAUUGAACGUGCUUGCACGGACUUGACGUUGGUUUACCAGCGAGUGGCGGACGGGUGAGUAACACGUAGGUAACCUGCCCCAAAGCGGGGGAUAACAUUUGGAAACAGAUGCUAAUACCGCAUAACAAUUUGAAUCGCAUGAUUCAAAUUUAAAAGAUGGCUUCGGCUAUCACUUUGGGAUGGACCUGCGGCGCAUUAGCUUGUUGGUAGGGUAACGGCCUACCAAGGCUGUGAUGCGUAGCCGAGUUGAGAGACUGAUCGGCCACAAUGGAACUGAGACACGGUCCAUACUCCUACGGGAGGCAGCAGUAGGGAAUCUUCCACAAUGGGCGCAAGCCUGAUGGAGCAACACCGCGUGAGUGAAGAAGGGUUUCGGCUCGUAAAGCUCUGUUGUUAGAGAAGAACGUGCGUGAGAGCAACUGUUCACGCAGUGACGGUAUCUAACCAGAAAGUCACGGCUAACUACGUGCCAGCAGCCGCGGUAAUACGUAGGUGGCAAGCGUUAUCCGGAUUUAUUGGGCGUAAAGCGAGCGCAGGCGGUUUGAUAAGUCUGAUGUGAAAGCCUUUGGCUUAACCAAAGAAGUGCAUCGGAAACUGUCAGACUUGAGUGCAGAAGAG
rnacentral:rRNA from 2 species